AGAUGAGCACUCCCACCUCCUUGAGAGGGUAAGGCUCCCAGUAGACGACUGGGUUGAUAGGCCGGAUAUGGAAGCCCUGUGAGGGGUGGAGUUGACCGGUACUAAUAGGCCGAGGGCUUGUCCUCAGUUG
rnacentral:rRNA from 2 species